AGUGAACGCUGGCGGUAGGCCUAACACAUGCAAGUCGAACGGCAGCACAGUAAGAGCUUGCUCUUACGGGUGGCGAGUGGCGGCCGGGUGAGGAAUACAUCGGAAUCUACUUUUUCGUGGGGGAUAACGUAGGGAAACUUACGCUAAUACCGCAUACGACCUACGGGUGAAAGCAGGGGUCCUUCGGAGCUUGCGCGAUGGAAUGAGCCGAUGUCGGAUUAGCUAGUUGGCGGGGUAAAGGCAGACCAAGGCGACGCUCCGUCGCUGGUCUGAGAGGAUGAUCAGCCACACUAGAACUGAGACACGGCCCAGACUCCUACGGGAGGCAGCAGUGGUGAAGAUUGGACAAUGGGCGCAAGCCUGAUCCAGCCAUACCGCGUGGGUGAAGAAGGCCUUCGGGUUGUAGAGCCCUUUUGUUGGGAAAGAAAAGCAGCAGGUUAAUACGUCGCUGUUCUGACGGUACCCAAAGAAUAAGCACCGGCUAACUUCGUG
rnacentral:rRNA from 1 species